CUUAAUAGUACAUACUUUGCGCUCAGUGAGUGGUUAUUCAUCGUGGGUGGUAGACAGCAUUACUGAUUUGUGCGACAACAUUGCACAUUAUUUAAUACUACCUAUAGGGCAGAAAGCCAUGAUUUUUAUUAGUCUGAGUAAAAUCUCCCCUGCAGUUCGGUAAAUGAUUUUUCUCGAUUACUAACAGAUUCAUCAUGUGUCUCGUGGUUGGUGGUGAAAAAUUCUUUCUCAGUCAGAAUUUUCAAAGCAAAUGCAUAUAAAAAAAAUAAAUAAAAGAUUCCUAAUCGAUUUUGUUGUAUUAAAACUAUUGAGUUAAAUUAAGUGUUAUGACCUGGAUUUGAACUCACGAAAUCAUGCACCCGGACUCUACUACUGUCAAUGUAAGCUCUAUGAGAAACUAUCGAGCCUCUCUAUCGCUAUGUCAAGCCAACAAAGGGGCAACUCAUUCAGAAAUUGUUGUGUUAGAUGU